UUAAGCGACUAAGCGUACACGGUGGAUGCCCUGGCAGUCAGAGGCGAUGAAGGACGUGCUAAUCUGCGAAAAGCGUCGGUAAGGUGAUAUGAACCGUUAUAACCGGCGAUGUCCGAAUGGGGAAACCCAGUGCAAUUCGUUGCACUAUCGUUAACUGAAUACAUAGGUUAACGAGGCGAACCGGGGGAACUGAAACAUCUAAGUACCCCGAGGAAAAGAAAUCAACCGAGAUUCCCCCAGUAGCGGCGAGCGAACGGGGAGCAGCCCAGAGUCUGAAUCAGCUUGUGUGUUAGUGGAACGGUCUGGAAAGUCCGACGGUACAGGGUGAUAGUCCCGUACACCAAAAUGCACAGGUUGUGAACUCGAAGAGUAGGGCGGGACACGUGGUAUCCUGUCUGAAUAUGGGGGGACCAUCCUCCAAGGCUAAAUACUCCUGACUGACCGAUAGUGAACCAGUACCGUGAGGGAAAGGCGAAAAGAACCCCGGCGAGGGGAGUGAAAAAGAACCUGAAACCGUGUACGUACAAGCAGUGGGAGCACCUUCGGGUGUGACUGCGUACCUUUUGUAUAAUGGGUCAGCGACUUAUAUUCUGUAGCAAGGUUAACCGUAUAGGGGAGCCGCAGGGAAACCGAGUCUUAACUGGGCGUUAAGUUGCAGGGUAUAGACCCGAAACCCGGUGAUCUAGCCAUGGGCAGGUUGAAGGUUGGGUAACACUAACUGGAGGACCGAACCGACUAAUGUUGAAAAAUUAGCGGAUGACUUGUGGCUGGGGGUGAAAGGCCAAUCAAACCGGGAGAUAGCUGGUUCUCCCCGAAAGCUAUUUAGGUAGCGCCUCGUGAAUUCAUCUUCGGGGGUAGAGCACUGUUUCGGCUAGGGGGUCAUCCCGACUUACCAACCCGAUGCAAACUACGAAUACCGAAGAAUGUUAUCACGGGAGACACACGGCGGGUGCUAACGUCCGUCGUGAAGAGGGAAACAACCCAGACCGCCAGCUAAGGUCCCAAAGUCAUGGUUAAGUGGGAAACGAUGUGGGAAGGCACAGACAGCCAGGAUGUUGGCUUAGAAGCAGCCAUCAUUUAAAGAAAGCGUAAUAGCUCACUGGUCGAGUCGGCCUGCGCGGAAGAUGUAACGGGGCUAAACCAUGCACCGAAGCUGCGGCAGCGACACUAUGUGUUGUUGGGUAGGGGAGCGUUCUGUAAGCCUGCGAAGGUGACCUGUGAGGGUUGCUGGAGGUAUCAGAAGUGCGAAUGCUGACAUAAGUAACGAUAAAGCGGGUGAAAAGCCCGCUCGCCGGAAGACCAAGGGUUCCUGUCCAACGUUAAUCGGGGCAGGGUGAGUCGACCCCUAAGGCGAGGCCGAAAGGCGUAGUCGAUGGGAAACAGGUUAAUAUUCCUGUACUUGGUGUUACUGCGAAGGGGGGACGGAGAAGGCUAUGUUAGCCGGGCGACGGUUGUCCCGGUUUAAGCAUGUAGGCUGGUUGUCCAGGCAAAUCCGGAUAAUCAAGGCUGAGGUGUGAUGACGAGGUACUACGGUGCUGAAGUAACAAAUGCCCUGCUUCCAGGAAAAGCCUCUAAGCAUCAGGUAACAUUAAAUCGUACCCCAAACCGACACAGGUGGUCAGGUAGAGAAUACCAAGGCGCUUGAGAGAACUCGGGUGAAGGAACUAGGCAAAAUGGUGCCGUAACUUCGGGAGAAGGCACGCUGGUGUGUAGGUGAAGUCCCUGCGGAUGGAGCUGAGACCAGUCGAAGAUACCAGCUGGCUGCAACUGUUUAUUAAAAACACAGCACUGUGCAAACACGAAAGUGGACGUAUACGGUGUGACGCCUGCCCGGUGCCGGAAGGUUAAUUGAUGGGGUUAUCCGUAAGGAGAAGCUCUUGAUCGAAGCCCCGGUAAACGGCGGCCGUAACUAUAACGGUCCUAAGGUAGCGAAAUUCCUUGUCGGGUAAGUUCCGACCUGCACGAAUGGCGUAAUGAUGGCCAGGCUGUCUCCACCCGAGACUCAGUGAAAUUGAACUCGCUGUGAAGAUGCAGUGUACCCGCGGCAAGACGGAAAGACCCCGUGAACCUUUACUAUAGCUUGACACUGAACAUUGAGCCUUGAUGUGUAGGAUAGGUGGGAGGCUUUGAAGCGUGGACGCCAGUCUGCGUGGAGCCAACCUUGAAAUACCACCCUUUAAUGUUUGAUGUUCUAACGUUGGCCCCUUACCGGGGUUGCGGACAGUGUCUGGUGGGUAGUUUGACUGGGGCGGUCUCCUCCCAAAGCGUAACGGAGGAGCACGAAGGUUAGCUAAUCCUGGUCGGACAUCAGGAGGUUAGUGCAAUGGCAUAAGCUAGCUUGACUGCGAGCGUGACGGCGCGAGCAGGUGCGAAAGCAGGUCAUAGUGAUCCGGUGGUUCUGAAUGGAAGGGCCAUCGCUCAACGGAUAAAAGGUACUCCGGGGAUAACAGGCUGAUACCGCCCAAGAGUUCAUAUCGACGGCGGUGUUUGGCACCUCGAUGUCGGCUCAUCACAUCCUGGGGCUGAAGUAGGUCCCAAGGGUAUGGCUGUUCGCCAUUUAAAGUGGUACGCGAGCUGGGUUUAGAACGUCGUGAGACAGUUCGGUCCCUAUCUGCCGUGGGCGCUGGAGAAUUGAGGGGGGCUGCUCCUAGUACGAGAGGACCGGAGUGGACGCAUCACUGGUGUUCGGGUUGUCAUGCCAAUGGCACUGCCCGGUAGCUAAAUGCGGAAGAGAUAAGUGCUGAAAGCAUCUAAGCACGAAACUUGCCCCGAGAUGAGUUCUCCCUGAGACUUUAAGUCUCCUGAAGGAACGUUGAAGACGACGACGUUGAUAGGCCGGGUGUGUAAGCGCAGCGAUGCGUUGAGCUAACCGGUACUAAUGAACCGUGAGGCUUAACCUU
rnacentral:rRNA from 1 species